rnacentral:rRNA from 1 species
GAUGAACGCUAGCGGCAGGCCUAAUACAUGCAAGCUGAACGGUAAAUGUUGUAGCAAUACAAUAUGAGAGUAGCGUAAGGGUGCGUAACACGUAUGCAAUCUACCCGCAACAGGAGGAUAGCUCCCCGAAAGGGGAAUUAAUACUCCAUAACAUCACGAGAGGGCAUCUGAUUGUGAUGAAACUCCAAGGGGUUGCGGAUGAGCAUGCGUCUGAUUAGUUAGUUGGUGAGGUAACGGCUCACCAAGACGAUGAUCAGUAGGGGAACUGAGAGGUUGAUCCCCCACACUGGCACUGAGAUACGGGCCAGACUCCUACGGGAGGCAGCAGUAGGGAAUAUUGGUCAAUGGGUGAGAGCCUGAACCAGCCAUGCCGCGUGCAGGAAGACGGCCUUCUGGGUUGUAAACUGCUUUUUUCUGGGGAUAAAAUACCCGUGCGCGGGGAAUUGAAGGUACCAGAGGAAUAAGCCACGGCUAACUACGUGCCAGCAGCCGCCGUAACAC